ensembl:lncRNA
GCUCUCCCUUCCAGGACCACCCUCCCUCUCAGGUUUUGCUGGUGGUUAUUGUUUUAACUCUGAUUUCCACUCUGCCCAUCAAAAUUCCCGUCCUUGAUCAAAAGUCCCUUCCUGCUUGUCUCCAGAGCAGGAUUAAAAUGGGCAACAUUUGCAAGAGUGAAAUAACUAAGGUGAGGAAAUCAGGAGAAUCCUGAUUGGAAACACAAGCAGCCACAAACAUCUGGUUUACAAAAUGCAAAUCCCUGAUGCAGAGAUGACCGCCGCCCAGUGUGGCACAGGUGUCCCCACUUCCAUGCCCAACGCCAGAGUGCUGACUGCUGAGCCCUGGCUGCCCGCUGCCCCCCUGCCUGCUGGGCCAACACACCUGCCACAGGUCCCAAGGACGAGGCAGGUGACAUGUCAAGGUGACUCAUCCCGCCGACCUCCUGUGACCCUAAGCUCUCCCCUCUGGGCCCCGAUGCAGAUACACACAUUCCUUUCAGCACACACAUCCGGCGUGGCACGGGACAGAAAAGCCACACGCAGAGCAGCUCACACAAGUGUGCCCUGCCUUUGUGGUGAGAGGUGAGUGGCGAGUGUGGCGAAACCUCCAGAGCCAGCUCCUGGGACUUAAGGUUCAUGGGUAAUACCGAGCUUGCAGUGACUCAAGCCUGUAAUCCCAGCACUUCAGACGCUGAGGCAGGAAGAGUGCCAGUUCAAGCGCGCAUAGCGUAUUCAAGGCCAGCCUGGAUUAAAUACUGAAACUACCAAAAGAGAGAGAGGAGGGAGGGGAGACGUAGAGCCAGAAAGCCCGAAGCCUGACUGUCCCUCAGUCUUUCAGGGCCACACUUUUCACACGAGUUUCUGAGUUUUACCCACCUAAGUAACUCUGCAUCCUGGGAAAGACCGCAGCAGGGCUGGCUAUAUUUUUUCAUGAUAAAAAUGAGUCACCAAGUGACAGCACGUUUGGGUCUGUGGAUCAGUCCAGGGAUGCCACGUGGAGCUCCCUAAGGUGAAGUACCUGCAAAGAACGGAGCUCCUUCACCCGGCCGGCCAGGCCGCUGUAGUAAUUGACCCUUAUUUGCACUGCUCACCUAAUCACAGCCUAUUUUUAACCUCAUCUCCAUUCUCCUCCGACCCAGCAUUUCUCACGUGACCUCAGCAGUGGAACAGUCUCAGGCCACGCCUGCCCCAUUGCUUGCCUUUUCCCACUAGGCCCCACCUCCUAAUCCCAAAUCAACUAUGGACUCAUCUGUGGAUUAAUCCAUGGGUAAGUAUACUGACCCCAUAAUCCAGUCACCUCCCCAAAGCCACACCUCUGAAUAUACACUUCUGGGUUAACAUUUACAUCUAAGCCAUAACAAGCUUCAACUCCCAGUCUCCUAGAAAACCAGAAAAACACCAUCCCAAAAUGCAAUCAGAAAAAAUCUAGUCCAUACAAGAUAUGAUGAAAAUAGACAGCGAGUGUUAAACAGUUUGAUUAUUAUAGUAUAAGAUAUAUUGCCGUUAAUCUCCCUCAAAAUUCUAUCCCAUUGUUCUUGCCACUUUCUGAAGCAGUCCCAGAAGUCUUUUUGUGAGUGUCUAUUUGUGGUGGCACACAACUGUAAUCCCAGCACUCGGGGGGAGGGGUGGGGGCGGCUGAGGCAGGAAGCCACAAGUUCAAGGCCAGCCUGGGCUACAUAGUGAGUUCAAGGUUGGCCUGAACUACAUAGUGAGAGUCUUAUCUCAAAAAACCCCACAAACGCCUGCUGCGCAAGCACAAGGACCCGAGUUCAAUCCCCAGUACCAAAAAAAAAAACCCAAAAAAUAAAAACAAAAGGAAAGUGGCAAGAACAAUGGGAUGAGUGUGUACAAAAUGAGGGGAGUAUUUUGAGGAGGAUUCGUGGCAAUGUAUCUUUUACAGUAACGAUUAUAAUCUAAAUUCACUGUAUAUUUUGAUCACACCUUGUAAAUGACGACAGGAUCAGGAAGGGAAAAGAAAAAAAGAUGAAAGGAAAAGCUGAGAUUGAAGAUAUUUAGAGAUAUAGUAACCAAUCCCAACAUGUGAAACUUGUAUGGGUAUUUAUGAGAUAAUCAGAAAUUUGAACACCAGCCUCACACGAGAUUUUAAACCAUUACAUCUUUAGAGGUGCCCGUGUCAUUAUGAUUAUGUUUCAUUAAGGUACUUGUUUCAGAGAGAUUAAAUACUGACAGAUGGGCAGGUUGAGAUGUGUUUCGGUAUAAUGGGGAGAGGGUAAGGGCAAGACAACUGAGUGGAGAGUUCUGCGCACGGGCCAUGCGGACAGCUAAUUCGUGACACUGUUCUGUUUUUGUACAUUAAAAAGCUUUUGAAGGGCCGGGGAUUUAGCUCAGUGGUUCCGCUGCCUGCCUCACAAGCACAAAGUCCUGAGUUCGAUCCUUGGGACACCCCCCCCCAAAAAAAAAGCUUUUAAAAAGAGAACUAAAUCUG